GAUGAACGCUAGCGGCAGGCUUAAUACAUGCAAGUCGUGGGGCAGCAGGUUUGUAGCAAUACAGAUGCUGGCGACCGGCAAACGGGUGCGGAACACGUACGCAACCUCCCUCCUUCUGGAAGAUAGCCCACCGAAAGGUGGAUUAAUACUCCAUAAUAUAUUGAAGUGGCAUCACUUUAAUAUUAAGGCUCCGGCGGAAAGAGAUGGGCGUGCGUCUGAUUAGGUAGUUGGCGGGGUAACGGCCCACCAAGCCUGCGAUCAGUAGCUGAUGUGAGAGCAUGAUCAGCCACACGGGCACUGAGACACGGGCCCGACUCCUACGGGAGGCAGCAGUAAGGAAUAUUGGUCAAUGGACGCAAGUCUGAACCAGCCAUGCCGCGUGGAGGAUGAAGGCCCUCUGGGUUGUAAACUUCUUUUCUCUGGGACGAAACCCCCGAUUUCCAUUGGGCCUGACGGUACCAGAGGAAUAAGCACCGGCUAACUCCGUGCCAGCAGCCGCGGUAAUACGGAGGGUGCAAGCGUUAUCCGGAUUCACUGGGUUUAAAGGGUGCGUAGGUGGGCAAGUAAGUCAGUGGUGAAAUCUCUGGGCUUAACCCGGAAACUGCCAUUGAUACUAUUUGUCUUGAAUUCUCUGGAGGUAAGCGGAAUAUGUCAU
rnacentral:rRNA from 1 species